GAUGAACGCUGGCGGCGUGCCUAAUACAUGCAAGUCGAGCGAAUGGAUUAAGAGCUUGCUCUUAUGAAGUUAGCGGCGGACGGGUGAGUAACACGUGGGUAACCUGCCCAUAAGACUGGGAUAACUCCGGGAAACCGGGGCUAAUACCGGAUAACAUUUUGAACCGCAUGGUUCGAAAUUGAAAGGCGGCUUCGGCUGUCACUUAUGGAUGGACCCGGGUCGCAUUAGCUAGUUGGUGAGGUAACGGCUCACCAAGGCAACGAUGCGUAGCCGACCUGAGAGGGUGGUCAGCCACACUGGGACUGAGACACGACCCAGACUCCUACGGGAGGCAGCAGUAGGGAAUCUUCCGCAAUGGACGAAAGUCUGACGGAGCAACGCCGCGUGAGUGAUGAAGGCUUUCGGGUCGUGAAACUCUGUUGUUAGGGAAGAACAAGUGCUAGUUGAAUAAGCUGACACCUUGACGGUACCUAACCAGAAAGCCACGGCUAACUACGUGCCAGCCGCCGCAGUAA
rnacentral:rRNA from 1 species